CUCAACCGCUGUCCUUCCCAAACCCUACUCUUGGUCGGCCCGUUCCCCUUCCCUGUGCGCCGCCGCCCUCCCUCUCUUCCUCCUCUAUGCUGCCGUUUCCAUGGAAGUGUCCCGGCCUCGUCGUUGCCGGAUCUGGCGGUCUGGCCGCACUGGUGGGGAUCUGGCGGUUUGGCCGCACUGGUUGUCGAUGCUGCGGGAUCUGGCUAAUCUGGGCCUCAUCGACGCCGCCCAGAUCCGCUGAGAGGGUAAGACCGGGAGAGUAGCCGCCUGUCUCCGGAGGAGUUCGUCCCGGAUGGCCUCUCCAAGGACUCCCUCGUUCUCACUCCCAACGCCUCUGCCUGAACACGGUCGUCUUCUUCGCGGCAUCGAGUUCAAGCUGGUCAACUGCGAGCUGCAUCGAUUCCUCUUCUUCGUGGGGUCUACACCUUCUCGGGGUGCAGUCAUGCAGCACAUGCUGCUGUGGAGAACGGAUGCCGGGAUGCUGGUAGAGCUGCUCCAGGCGGCCCUGUCGAGCUCAACCACUAAUUAAUCAACCAAGUGUUGCACCACCACAUCCUCUACACUCGCUACCAGUGACCGCCACAACGCCUCUAUCAUCAUCGAGCUCAUCACCUGUAUGUAUGGAUCAAGAUGCUAUCAACUGUUUGUUUCCCUGUAUAUCUGUUCAGAUUUCAACAAGGACACUCACAGUCACAACGCACUAAAUAAAUCUUUUGUAGCAAAUAACCAUUAUUGUAAAAGAAUUCUUAAGUGAUUUUCUUCUAUAAUCUUCUCUAGUAUUCUGAUAGCCUAAUGGAACUUGUACCUUUAAUUAACCAAUAUACACCGCCAUCACACAUGGUUUAUGCCUUGAGCAUUAGUUCGGUUAUGCGUACAUUUUGUUAGAUGUGUAAAUUGAAAAAUGUUUGUCAACUAUGAUUAUUUUGUUUCAAAUAACAACACAUAAAAACCUUGUUUUAUUUGCAUGUUAUGGUUUAGGAGGUUGAACAGAAUAUUAAGACGCAUAAUAAGUAAAUGUCUUAUUUUCUCAUUAAAAUGUUUGAUCUUAACAUAGGAACAUGACCUGACCCCAUGCGUUAGCAGUCUGGUUUUCAUGACUUUUGUGAAUAAUUGAAAUAUAUAAUGCAAAGUGGCACUUGAUCCAUAGCUAGUGUCAGAAGACCUUCAUAAUUUGUACUGCUAAUUCUCGUGGAUUAUCUAUCUGUUUGUUUGAAACUGCUGUGCAUUGCCAACAUAUUUCUUCCACCAAUUUUGCAGAUGGAUUCUGGCUGGAUUCCUUUCUUUCCAAAUAUAACUGUGUCAUUCUUGUAAUUUCUUUACCAUGCUAUGCAGAAUGAACCAUCUUUUCAUGGUGCUUGAGUCAUCGGCAUAGAUGGAUCUAACCAAAUUUUCUUCAGGUGGCAUCCUUCAAGGAUCAUCCUUAUUAGUUACUUACAGCAAUUUUGUUGAUUAUGGAUUAUGGAUCAUCAUCAGACGGCCAUGCACAUGCAUAGAACUCACGUUUUUUCUAGCUAGCUAGUUGCUACAGUAGUUGUUACUGUUUGCAGGCGUAAGAACUGAGAACGGCACUGAAUAGCCAUGCUCAAGGCUUUUUAGGUUACCAAAGAGGACGCUCCUCUAUGGGGAAUCUCCAGCGGCGACAGAUAUAACUGUUGUUAUACACUGCCUGAAUAGCCUUGUUUUUAUGUUGUUACACACUGCCUGAACUGUUAAGGGCCUUGAUUGACUUUCAUUGAUUGCUAUAAGAAUGACAAACUGUCCAGAAGCAGGACUAGUCUUUUUCUUUGAUUAUAAUAAUCAACAAUUGGUAAGUUUGUCUAGCUUAAUUAUUUGUGAAUUGCACAACACGUCAGGUAGAUAUAUGGUGGAAAGGUGAAGGGCACAUGUACACAUAUUUUUUGUAUCGGUGGCUGGCUGUGCAAACUCACGUGAUUUAGUUUAAAAUACCGUCGUAAAUAUUGCAUGUACGAUAUGUCUCAUGAUUCUGCAAAUACUGUAUAAUAUUAUGGUUUUCACAAACUAUGGUAUUUUGCAGCUACAGGUUUGAAAACUGUAGUUUUUGAAUACUACAAUUUUACAUAUACUAUGCACCCAAACAGAGCCUGAGCAGUUUGGAUCCCUCGAUGUCCUUUUUAAAAACUGAGCAGGACUAUAUUUGGUUGAUGUCUGGAUAAAAGUCUUGGCUGAAAAAUGCUUGGCCUGGAGCCUCCUUGCAAAGUGCACGGACUAUGUUUGGUUGAUGUCCUGAAGAAAUGUAUAUUGACUUGUGCUAUUUGCAUUAGAACACUUGUCCUUAUGUGAUAUAAAGUUUGCAUUUUUAGUGUCUUGUGCUUCCAUUACUAGUUGCAUGUUUAUGAUACAGCAGGUUUACCAUUCUAUGAGAGAUCCAUUUUGAGUUUCCAGUUUUCCAAAGACACACAAGUUGAUGGAGGUUUGUAAGAUCUACAUACAAGCAGUUGACGAUUUGGAAGUUCUACAGCGGCUGAAGGUUUGGAAGACAUACAAUUAAGUUGGUGUAGUGAUAAUGUAGUGCAUCUAGUUUGUUGAACCUGGAGACAUUGGCAGGUUCUGCUUAUUUUGGUGGUUGUUUUGCUACACAAGUCACUGGAUGCUCAUUUUGGUUGUGUGGCACAUCUAGAAACAUAAGUAUUUUUUGUGCCAGCACAACGUCCUUAUGUAUGGCUGUUUCCUGUAUGUAUGUAUCUAGAAACAUACUGUAUGUAUCUGGCAUGUUAUGUUUAUAUUGAAGGAAGUUUUAAGGUUUUU